rnacentral:rRNA from 1 species
CAGCAGCCGCGGGAAUACAGAGGGUGCAAGCGUUAAUCGGAAUUACUGGGCGUAAAGCGCGCGUAGGUGGUUUGUUAAGUUGGAUGUGAAAUCCCCGGGCUCAACCUGGGAACUGCAUCCAAAACUGGCAAGCUAGAGUAUGGUAGAGGGUGGUGGAAUUUCCUGUGUAGCGGUGAAAUGCGUAGAUAUAGGAAGGAACACCAGUGGCGAAGGCGACCACCUGGACUGAUACUGACACUGAGGUGCGAAAGCGUGGGGAGCAAACAGGAUUAGAUACCCCAGUAGUCCCUGUCUCUUAUAA